rnacentral:rRNA from 1 species
GAUGAACGCUGGCGGCGUGCUUAACACAUGCAAGUCGAGCGAAGCACUUAGGAAGGAUUCUUCGGAUGUUUUCCUAUUUGACUGAGCGGCGGACGGGUGAGUAACGCGUGGGUAACCUGCCUCAUGCAGGGGGAUAACAGUUAGAAAUGACUGCUAAUACCGCAUAAGACCACAGCACCGCAUGGUGCAGGGGUAAAAACUCCGGUGGUAUGAGAUGGACCCGCGUCUGAUUAGUUAGUUGGUGGGGUAACGGCCUACCAAGGCGACGAUCAGUAGCCGACCUGAGAGGGUGACCGGCCACAUUGGGACUGAGACACGGCCCAAACUCCUACGGUAGGCAGCAGUGGGGAAUAUUGCACAAUGGGGGAAACCCUGAUGCAGCGACGCCGCGUGGGCGAAGAAGUAUUUCGGUAUGUAAAGCUCUAUCAGCAGGGAAGAAAAUGACGGUACCUGACUAAGAAGCCCCGGCUAACUACGUGCCAGCCGCCGCGGUAA